AAAUUGAAGAGUUUGAUCAUGGCUCAGAUUGAACGCUGGCGGCAGGCCUAACACAUGCAAGUCGAACGGUAACAGGAAGCAGCUUGCUGCUUUGCUGACGAGUGGCGGACGGGUGAG
rnacentral:rRNA from 3 species